rnacentral:rRNA from 1 species
AUUGAACGCUGGCGGCAUGCCUUACACAUGCAAGUCGAACGGCAGCGGGGGAGAAGCUUGCUUUUCCUGCCGGCGAGUGGCGAACGGGUGAGUAAUACAUCGGAACGUGCCCUGUAGUGGGGGAUAACUAGUCGAAAGAUUAGCUAAUACCGCAUACGACCUGAGGGUGAAAGUGGGGGACCGUAAGGCCUCAUGCUAUAGGAACGGCCGAUGUCUGAUUAGCUAGUUGGUGGGGUAAAGGCCUACCAAGGCGACGAUCAGUAGCUGGUCUGAGAGGACGAUCAGCCACACUGGGACUGAGACACGGCCCAGACUCCUACGGGAGGCAGCAGUGGGGAAUUUUGGACAAUGGGCGAAAGCCUGAUCCAGCAAUGCCGCGUGUGUGAAGAAGGCCUUCGGGUUGUAAAGCACUUUUGUCCGGAAAGAAAUGGCUCUGGUUAAUACCUGGGGUCGAUGACGGUACCGGAAGAAUAAGGACCGGCUAACUACGUGCCAGCCGCCGCUGUAA